UUAUGUGCACAGGUACUUAGAGCAAAGUAUUAUCCAGGUGGGAACUUGCUGAAUGCUGGGCCCAAGAAGGGAGCUUCUUUCACUUGGCAAAGCAUAGUGGCUGGUCUUCAAACCUUUAAAAGAGGUCAUAUGUGGAGAGUUGGUUCUGGUACUAGGAUCAAUAUUUGGAAUGAUCAUUGGAUCCCACAGAGCCCCUCAAGGAAGAUCAUCACACCUAGAGGGAACAUUUUACUAAAUACUGUUGAUGAACUCAUGCCGGAUACAGGAGAUUGGGACGAACAACUAAUAAGAUCAAUUUUCUUUGGAGUGGAUGCAGAACGAAUCCUAGGAAUUCCACUGUCAGGACAGCUACCGGAGGACUUUGUGGCGUGGCAUGCUACAAAAUCCUACAGUUUCACAGUGAGAUCGGCAUACUACAUAGAAUGGGAGCACCAGUUCGGAGCCAGGCUGAGGAAAAAUCCAAGUGAGACGUCAAAUGAGAAUUCGGUUUGGGAUAUACUAUGGAAGCUGCACAUUCCUAGUAAGAUCAAAAAAAUUGUAUGGCGAGCUCUACACGGCAUUAUUCCAGGAGUGGGAAUACUGAGGAAUAGACACUUCAAGGUAUCGCCUGCAUGCCCUAUUUGCCACCAGGGGGCAGAAGAUAUUCGACAUCUAGCUUUUACAUGUGAGCGUGCAAAGCAGGUUUGGAAAUCCUUGGGAUUAUAUGACAUAAUA
rnacentral:rRNA from 1 species